UCCUCCCGAUCUUUCCUCCCUGUUAAUCUCAUUGCAUUAUCUUCUUCAGUUUCCUCAGGUUGAACCAGAUGCUGGAGAUAAAAUUCCUCAUAGAAAAAAAUUCACGGUCUUUUUCACUCUCACUCUCUCGAGAUCUCAAACAAUUUUGAUCGGUUUCUUCCGCCAUGAUCCGUUGAAACACGUCGCCGUCGGCGAGAAUGGAAGGAAUCUAACGUCUCCGGCGAAGAUGCCUUCGCCGUGAUCUGCAACAAGUACGACCGAUACGGCAUCGACAAGUAGAAGGACUCUAAUGUCUCCGGCGACGAUGCCUUCACUCGCCUCUACUCUGCCGUCGAGUUCGACAUUGAAGCUGCUCUUCAGAAAGCGGAGCUUGCUUCAAAAGAGAAAAGUAGGGCAUUUGCAGUUGCUCUGAAUGCCGUGAUUCGCCGAACCAAGGCUCGAUUGCUUAAAGAGGUUCCCAAGUUGCAGAGAUUGGCUGUAAAGAAGAUUCAUAGAAGAAAGGUACGGGCAUGGCAAAUGAUAUGUAUUUUGUCACAUUUCGUCCGUCAAGAUAUAAGAGAUAAUACGUGUGCUUGAACCCUUGCCCACGGAUCGAGAAACACAAUGGCAAAUUCUUCGGGAGUUACAAGGAGCUGUUGAGUCUGUAGAGAGCUUAAGAGGUGCAACUGUGGAGCCAUUUGGAUCAUUUGUCUCAGAACUCUUUACUCGCUGGGGAGACUUGGAUGUUUCAAUUGAGUUCUCAAAAGGCGCAUAUAUUUCUUCUUAUGGAAGAAAGCACACACAAGAUGUACUAAAAGAUUUUAUGAAGGCUAUGAGAAAGAGAGGUGGAUGGAACAGGUACCAAUUCAUACCUAAUGCAAGAGUUCCCAUUCUGAUGGUCAAAAGUAAUCUUGGAAACAUCUCCUGUGAUAUUUCAGUCAAUAACCUGAAGGGCCAAAUGAAAUCAAAACUCUUUUUAUGGAUGAAUGAUAUAGAUCCACGCUUUCGUGAUAUGGUUUUACUGGUGAAGGAAUGGGCAAAACACACAAUAUCAAUAAUUCAAAAACUGGGACUUUCAAUUCAUACUCUCUGAGUUUGCUCGUGAUCUUCCAUUUUUAGACAUGUACACCUGCAAUUCUGCCUCCUCUUCAAGACAUAUAUACAGAAACUCUCACGGAUGAUCUUAAAGGUACUUUUCAGCCUUACCUUAAACAGAGACCUCAUUUUGCCACUAACUGUUGGUAAAAAUUGAAUAAUUUUUUUUUCUUUUAGAAUAGUUUCUGAAAUUGAUUUUUCUUUGAAGAUAUGGUACUGGUUCUUUGUUUGAAAUAAUGGAGUUUAAGUUAGCUCUACACAGCAUCAAAGCAAAGGAACUCCCUUUUACGAAGCAAAGAUAUGAGGAAGAAAACUAUAGUUUCAAUCUUUCAAUUGCCAAGUGUCCUUUUUUCAACUCGAGAGCAUGUUAAUUGCUUGAGCGGUGAUAUGUAACAGUUUAGGUAUCCAAUGAAUGAAGUUUAGUUCCAUUUUGAGUUGUAAAAAAAGGUUGUUCUUGUUUAAAGUUGUGUUUAGAAUUCAAAAACAACUUCAUUUAUUAAGAUUUGAAGCCACUAAUAGAAUCUGCCCAUACAAGUUGCCCUUUC